CCUACGGGAGGCAGCAGUCGAGAAUCAUUCACAAUGGGGGAAACCCUGAUGGUGCGACGCCGCGUGGGGGAAUGAAGGUCUUCGGAUUGUAAACCCCUGUCAUGUGGGAGCAAAUUAAAAAGAUAGUACCACAAGAGGAAGAGACGGCUAACUCUGUGCCAGCAGCCGCGGUAAUACAGAGGUCUCAAGCGUUGUUCGGAAUCACUGGGCGUAAAGCGUGCGUAGGCUGUUUCGUAAGUCGUGUGUGAAAGGCGCGGGCUCAACCCGCGGACGGCACAUGAUACUGCGAGACUAGAGUGAGGGAGGGGGAAGCGGAAUGCUCGGUGUAGCAGUGAAAUGCGUAGAUAUCGAGAGGAACACUCGUGGCGAAGGCGGGUUCCUGGACAUUAACUGACGCUGAGGCACGAAGGCCAGGGGAGCGAAAGGGAUUAGAUACCCGUGUAGUC
rnacentral:rRNA from 1 species